UGAGCGGUUGUUUGGGAUUACUGGGCGUAAGGGCGCGUAGGCGGCGUGUCAAGUCAAUUGUGAAAUCUCCGGGCUUAACUCGGAACGGUCAAUUGAUACUGUCAUGCUAGAGUGCAGAAAGGGCAAUCGGAAUUCUUGGUGUAGCGGUGAAAUGCGUAGAUAUCAAGAGGAACACCUGAGGCGAACGCGGGUUGCUAGGCUGACACUGACGCUGAUGCGCGAAAGCCAGGGGAGCAAACGGGAUUAGAUACCCCGGUAAUCCUGGCUCUAAACUAUG
rnacentral:rRNA from 1 species